UUUUAAAUCCCAGAGUUAUAAAUUCCCAGGUUUUUACUCAAUAGAAUCUUAAAACCAUAAAACCUUGAAUCAGAAUCCCAGGAUCUUAGAUUGUCAAGUCUUAAAUUUUCACUUUAAUAGAAUCUUCACAUCACAAAAUAUUGGGUUAGAAUCAUAGAAUCUGAACCUCAUGUCAGAUCACAGAAUCUUAGGAUUUCCAGGAAUGUAAUCAUCAGCUUGCUGAGAAGCCCAGUCCUUAGGAAUACAUGGAAGCCCCUCAACUGCAACAUAUCUGCCCCAAAUGGCUGCCAGGAGGCCCAUGCUGUGUGGGCUCCAUCAGGAAGGAGGCCUACGGGAGCCUUGGAGGUGUUUGUUGUUCCCCAAUCCUGUGCGGAGAGGAAGAACUGCACAGCCCGGGGCGGGGACUGUCAAGCUGGGACAACACGCCUCUCAGGUCUCCCACCUCAGGGACAUGGGUGGCACGCUGAGGUCCACAGGAGCGAGAUGUUUCCCGCUGCCACUGCAGGCCCAGUGUGACAGCCGGGGCUGGGCCAUCUGGUGAAGGUGGGGCUCAGGGACCAGGAGUUUCAGAGAUGGAAACGAAUCCAUAUGGGCUCACUGGCAGCAAUGGCUAGUCUCUCAUCCAGUUACUUGUUGUAUGACCACCUCGCCCAAGUUUCUGUCCCUUCAGGGCCUCAGU